UACGUAGGGUGCAGGCGUUAAUCGGAAUUACUGGGCGUAAAGCGUGCGCAGGCGGUUAUGUAAGACAGAUGUGAAAUCCCCGGGCUCAACCUGGGAACUGCAUUUGUGACUGCAUAGCUAGAGUACGGUAGAGGGGGAUGGAAUUCCGCGUGUAGCAGUGAAAUGCGUAGAUAUGCGGAGGAACACCGAUGGCGAAGGCAAUCCCCUGGACCUGUACUGACGCUCAUGCACGAAAGCGUGGGGAGC
rnacentral:rRNA from 1 species